UGUGAUGUUGGAGUUAUUAUUGUUGUUUGUUCUUGUUGUUGUUCAUGUUGUUGUUCUUUGUGGUUUUGUCAUCGUAUAUGUUUUGUGUUGUUAGUUAGUAUGGUCUUAAAUGAUGGCAGUGGAUUGAAUAGUGAGGAGGAAGCGGAGGCUACGUACUCCCGCUCUGAUUAACCGAUCACCAGUUGGUGAUCAUGAGUAUCGUGUCUGAGGUUACGACAAGCGACUUGGCUGUGUGUCCUUUGGGGUCCGGAGUUUGUGAAGUAACCUGACUGUAUAUCCUUUUGUAGUGUUACUGGGUAGUCUUACGUCGUACAGAUUUUAUCUGAAUCAUCUUUGUAUUAACUACUUACGCCCUUUCGAGAAGAUUAAUAAAGUGUUUUAUCUAAAAAAAAAGACAAAAAGUAAAAUUUAAGUCUACAUUCAUUGGUCAUUUGCACUUCUGCGUGCAACCACCAAAAAAAAUUAUCAUUCUAAUAUGUAGGCAUGGGCAUAUUAUCCAUAAUCUGGAACCGAACCUGAACCCGACAUGUCACGGAUCCAUCAAAAUAUCCAAUCGGUUUUGAUAUGUUGAUACUUUGGUUAUCAGGUAU
rnacentral:lncRNA from 1 species